rnacentral:rRNA from 1 species
UACGAAGGGGGCUAGCGUUGCUCGGAAUCACUGGGCGUAAAGGGUGCGUAGGCGGGUCUUUAAGCCAGGGGUGAAAUCCUGGAGCUCAACUCCAGAACUGCCUUUGAUACUGAGGAUCUUGAGUACGGGAGAGGUGAGUGGAACUGCGAGUGUAGAGGUGAAAUUCGUAGAUAUUCGCAAGAACACCAGUGGCGAAGGCGGCUCACUGGCCCGUAACUGACGCUGAGGCACGAAAGCGUGGGGAGCAAACAGG